rnacentral:rRNA from 1 species
AACGUAGGUUCCGAGCGUUAUCCGGAUUUACUGGGCGUAAAGCGCGUUCAGGCGGUUUGGCAAGUCGGGCGUGAAAUCUCUCGGCUCAACCGGGAGAGGUUGUCCGAUACUGCUGGACUUGAGGGCAGUAGAGGGUGGUGGAAUUCCGGGUGUAGUGGUGAAAUGCGUAGAUAUCCGGAGGAACACCAGUGGCGAAAGCGGCCACCUGGACUGUACCUGACGCUCAAACGCGAAAGCUAGGGGAGCGAACGGG